UACGGAGGGGGCGAGCGUUGUUCGGAGUUACUGGGCGUAAAGCGCACGUAGGCGGUGCGGUAAGUCAGGGGUUAAAGGCUGCAGCUCAACUGCAGUAAGGCCUUUGAUACUAUCGUGCUAGAGUGUCAGAGAGGAUGGCGGAAUUCCCGGUGUAGCGGUGAAAUGCGUAGAUAUCGGCAGGAACACCAGUAGCGAAGGCGGCCAUCUGGCUGAUAACUGACGCUGAGGUGCGAGAGCGUGGGGAGCAAACAGG
rnacentral:rRNA from 1 species